GAUGAACGCUGGCGGCGUGCCUAAUACAUGCAAGUCGAGCGAACAGACGAGGAUCUUGCUCCUCUGACGUUAGCGGCGGACGGGUGAGUAACAUGUGGAUCACCUACCUAUAAGACUGGGAUAACUUCGGGAAACCGGAGCCAAUACCGGAUAAUAUAUUGAACCGCAUGGUUCAAUAGUGAAAGACGGUUUUGCUGUCACUUAUAGAUGGAUCCGCGCCGCAUUAGCUAGUUGGUAAGGUAACGGCUUACCAAGGCAACGAUGCGUAGCCGACCUGAGAGGGUGAUCGGCCACACUGGAACUGAGACACGGUCCAGACUCCUACGGGAGGCAGCAGUAGGGAAUCGUCCGAAAUGGGCGAAAGCCUGACGGAGCAACGCCGCGUGAGUGAUGAAGGUCUUCGGAUCGUAAAACUCUGUUAUUAGGGAAGAACAAAUGUGUAAGUAACUAUGCACGUCUUGACGGUACCUAAUCAGAAAGCCACGGCUAACUACGUG
rnacentral:rRNA from 1 species